CAACAGGGAUUGCCUUAGUAACGGCGAGUGAAGCGGCAACAGCUCAAAUUUGAAAGCUGGCUCCUUUGGAGUCCGCGUUGUAAUUUGUAGAGGAUGAUUCGGCAAGGGCUCCCGCCUAAGUCUCCUGGAACGGAGCGUCAUAGAGGGUGAGAAUCCCGUAUGCGGUGGGCUGCCUAAGCCAUGUGAAUCUCCUUCGACGAGUCGAGUUGUUUGGGAAUGCAGCUCUAAAUGGGAGGUAAAUUUCUUCUAAAGCUAAAUACCGGCCAGAGACCGAUAGCGCACAAGUAGAGUGAUCGAAAGAUGAAAAGCACUUUGGAAAGAGAGUUAAAAAGUACGUGAAAUUGUUGAAAGGGAAGCGCUUGCAGCCAGACUUGUCCGCAGUUGCUCAGCCGGUCUCCUGACCGGUGUACUCUUCUGCGGCCAGGCCAGCAUCAGUUCGGGCGGUCGGAUAAAGACCUCGGGAAUGUAGCUCCUCUCGGGGAGUGUUAUAGCCCGGGGUGGAAUGCGGCCAGCCUGGACUGAGGAUCUCGCUUCGGCUAGGAUGCUGGCGUAAUGGCUGUAAGCGGCCCGUCUUGAAACACGGACCAAGGAGUCUAACAUCUAUGCGAGUGGUUUGGGUGUCAAACCCAUGCGCGUAAUGAAAGUGAACGGAGGUGGGAACCCUCACGGGUGCACCAUCGACCGAUCCUGAUGUCUUCGGAUGGAUUUGAGUAARAGCAUAGCUGUUGGGACCCGAAAGAUGGUGAACUAUGCCUGAAUAGGGUGAAGCCAGAGGAAACUCUGGUGGAGGCUCGCAGCGGUUCUGACGUGCAAAUCGAUCGUCAAAUUUGGGUAUAGGGGCGAAAGACUAAUCGAACCAUCU
rnacentral:rRNA from 1 species